rnacentral:rRNA from 1 species
CCUACGGGAGGCAGCAGUGGGGAAUAUUGGACAAUGGGGGGAACCCUGAUCCAGCGACGCCGCGUGAGUGAAGAAGUACUUCGGUAUGUAAAGCUCUAUCAGCAGGGAAGAAAGAAAUGACGGUACCUGACUAAGAAGCCCCGGCUAACUACGUGCCAGCAGCCGCGGUAAUACGUAGGGGGCAAGCGUUAUCCGGAUUUACUGGGUGUAAAGGGAGCGUAGACGGCGAUGCAAGUCUGAAGUGAAAGGCGGGGGCCCAACCCCCGGACUGCUUUGGAAACUGGAUGGCUGGAGUGCAGGAGAGGUAAGUAGAAUUCCUGGUGUAGCGGUGAAAUGCGUAGAGAGUAGGAGGAACACCAGUGGCGAAGGCGGCUUACUGGACUGUAACUGACGUUGAGGCUCGAAAGCGUGGGGAGCAAACAGGAUUAGAUACCCUUGUAGUC